AACGAACGCUGGCGGCAGGCCUAACACAUGCAAGUCGAGCGAGACCUUCGGGUCCAGCGGCGGACGGGUGAGUAACGCGUGGGAACGUGCCCUUUUCUGCGGAAUAGCCUCGGGAAACUGAGCGUAAUACCGCAUACGCCCUUUGGGGGAAAGAUUUAUCGGAAAAGGAUCGGCCCGCGUUGGAUUAGGUAGUUGGUGGGGUAAUGGCCUACCAAGCCUACGAUCCAUAGCUGGUUUGAGAGGAUGAUCAGCCACACUGGGACUGAGACACGGCCCAGACUCCUACGGGAGGCAGCAGUGGGGAAUCUUAGACAAUGGGGGCAACCCUGAUCUAGCCAUGCCGCGUGAGUGAUGAAGGCCUUAGGGUUGUAAAGCUCUUUCAGCUGGGAAGAUAAUGACGGUACCAGCAGAAGAAGCCCCGGCUAACUCCGUG
rnacentral:rRNA from 1 species